UUUGACCUUCAGCUUCAGGAAGUGCGCCUGCGCGGUAACAGAGGCAGGGGGACGGUAUUAGCAAAGAGCUCCGCCUCUUUCUCCUACUUUCCUGAACCUGCUGGCGCUCGCACAGUGAUUUGCGCCUGCGUUUCUGCACAGGAAUUGGAAGAAGGCAAGAAAUGAGGCAUACCAAGCACGUCAUAGCAGAAGGGUGUGUGCAGGUGUGCCUGAGACAUCGCCCUGCUUAAACUCAGCCAGGCAGGUCCAGUGAUGGCAGCCAGAAAAUGAAGUCACUUUGGACCACAGCCUAAGAAUACAAUGACUUCAGAACACAAAAUCUUCAGUUAGGGAGGAGUUCAUAAUAGUCACCCUAAAAAGAAGUAAAAUUUAAACUCUCCUGGACAAUAGUGAAAUUGCUUACGCUCAAAUAGCCAGAAAAGGGGCAAGGUGAGUGGCAGGGGAAGAAGAGAGGUUUCUCAGAUUUAUCUGUUUCAUUUCAUUGUUUUUUCUUAAUUGGUGUUUUUUGACAGUACAAUAUCUGAAUGUAUAAUUAUGAGAUAGAGUAGUUCUCAUAAUUUUGCCACCACUAAAAAUAUCGGGAAAAUGCAGAUUUGUUCCAGCUGACCGAAUUACUGCUAAAGUAAACCUGAUUGAUUAAAAGAAAAGCUUUUUUUUCCUCAAUGUAAAUAACAAUGUUCUGAAUAUCUUGGGUUUCCAGGAUACAGCAGCUGAAAAUAAAGUUUACAGCCUAUGGCAAAUGCAUUGUAUCUUAAGAUGUAUCAUAUUAUCUGGCUGAAAACAAAUAGCUGGGGAAAAUAGGCAUAAUGAAAGUACCAAAUUUCUAAGUCUAUUUUUAAUAUUUUUAGUAGUACUGACCCCAGAAGAAGUAUAAUCAGUUUUUAAUAAAGGCAAAUUCAAAAGCAGCAGUGCAGAACUUAAUAUUCCUGGCACUUUUCAUAAUCAUGGCUUGUUGUCACAUAAACCUCUAUCAUUCAAUUUAUAAAAAUUGGAUAAGCUGCCUGGCUCAUUAAAUAGCUUACGUGAGUUCAUACUAACAGGGUGUCAGAGAAAGAAAGAAAAGCCUUUAGAAGGGCUGGAAGAGGAGGGCAGAGGAGAAACAGAGGCUCCCCUAAGAGCUUGGUGGGACUUGAGGCACAAUUCCAACCACACCCUCCUCUCCCACACCUGAGCCAGAGCAACAUUUGAGGAGCACAGAGUGACUGCAAGAAUAAAUGCUGCCUCACUUUUCCACUUUAUAAUAAAACAAAAAUUAUGUGAUCUUCCAUCAUCCGUUUGUAACUCAAGAUGUCUUGGAGCUGGGAAAUUAGGGGAAUUUACUGGGCAGUGUGUAUGGGCGUUGCUAUGACUAAGGGGAGAAACAGCAGAAUUAGGACCUAAUGAGUCUAGAAGGAUGGGGUUGGGCUUCUCCUGGGGGAUUAUAAAUGUGUGAGUCACCAGCUGACAGAGCUCUGAUCCCUGACUCAAUGCAUAGGAAAUAGAACCACUAGGGGAGGGUCUAUGGCAUUUUAGAUACCAACAAUGAUAGUAACACUAGCAUUUAGAGUUUAUGAAGAGCUUUAAUUCUUCUCUCAUUUCUAUUCCAUGGACUCCCUUACAUUUCUAACCGUGGGUAAACUCAGCAGGAAUGAUGCCUGAAAUAGUGUAUCAUUCCCAAGUUGCCAGGGAAAGAUUCAGUAAGCUUUUAAUUAAAAUCACAGGAGAACCAGAUUCUAAGGAGUAGUCAGUACACAGCAGUGUUGCACUGUGGACUUUGCUGCACUCAGUAGGCUCUCUAUGGUCAUUCAGAGAGAUCAAAUGGCCCACUACUUACUGAGAAGGAAACUUGAGAAAUGCUGUGCUGCUUCCUAGAAUCACUGAUUUGCAGGCAAGUCUUACCCUGAGUAUGGUAAAGAGGCACCAGGAAGGACUGGGAAGACCUGGCUGCCUGUAAGCCUUUAUUUCCCUCGCAGGUGCACGUAUGCCAUUUUCAGAAGAAGAGAACACUGUUCACCUAUUCUCCAGUCUAGUAAGGCUGGCAGUCCCAGAUACUGAGUCAAUGACCAAGACUCAACUCUCUCCCUCACUUCAGAUUGCCAGUACAUAAUUUGGCUCUGGGAAAGAGUUCCACAUUGAUACAAUACCCCUCAUGAAGUUUACAAACAGGCUGAAACUUCCAAUAUCCGGUCUUGCCUUCAAUAUCAUAACUUUUUGCAUUGCUAACAUAAAUCUACUUCAUCUAUGAAAAGCAUUAACUCCCGGAGAACCAUCACAGCAAAAGCCAACAGCUCUUCUUUCAAUAUUACCAUUCAUACCAGGGCUCUGGCAUUCCCUUUAGCCAGCUUUGGCUUUGUGAUUUUUAUGGAACCCUGUGACCAUGGUUUCAGCAGGGCUAGCUAUGGGUCAAACAAUCUGAGCUAUCUUGACAUUAACGAUCAUGGAAGCCCAGGAAAGUCUUUAGCCUUGGGGGAUGAGGAAGGCAUUCCGUGGAAGUGCCUGAUGCUUCUCUCUGCUCAAGCAUAAGUAAGUCCACAUUCAGUCUCAUAAGCUGGGGAUCAUUGAGGAAGAUCUCAGGGCUGCUGGAAAAGGGUCAGGAAUUCCCCAAGCCUUGGGGCUAGGACUGCAGAUUAGCCCGUUGAAUGUUAAUUUGAGGUCUGGUAGUAAGGGACCAACAGCUGUUGGGGACCCUAGAAAGGCAAAUGGGUAGCAAGCAGGGCUUCAGAUGACUUCCUCUCUGUGGCCUCCUGGGCCACAGAGCAGAAAUUCUCUGGAGCUUUUCACUGUUCUAGCUGCCACCUUGGUCAUUCAUGAGUUUUGUUAAAGGAAACACACAGGAAGAUUCAGCAAGAGAGAAGAGGCAAGGCAGGAGAAAUAAUGGCACAAUGAACAUUUAAGAGAAUGCAGGGAAGAGAAGGAAGGAAGAUUGAAAAAGAGCAGUUACUGAAGCUGCAGCCCAUCUGUAGCCAUCAGUGUCUGAUACACAUGAUUUGCACUUAACUUUUGACCGAACCUCUUAACAGUUUUUUGCAUUAACAGGAGAUGUCCUUAUUUGCAUUUUGUAGAUGGAGAUAUGAAGGGUAGAGACUGAAGUAUCCUUGCCCAAGAACACAGAGUGAAGUAGUCAGAUUUUCCCAGACUUUAUCCUCUGGCCUUUUGAGACUAAAAUGCCUUAUUGUUUAAGCCUUAACCAGUGUAUUUCAUUUGAAACCUCUUCCUCGUUGGGUUCCAAGACACAAUUGCUGUUGCUGUUCUGCACACUGCUAAAGGAGAGAUGAUUGUACCAUUAUUUUUCCAAAAUUGUAGUGGAGCAUCAGAAUGAUGCAAAUCAGUUAUACAUGUCAGAGAUGGAAGCAACUUUGGAGAUCACUGAGCUCAUCUCCUCAUUUUCUAGAUUAGAAACAUGAAUAUAAUCCAGAGAGGUGAAGGGGUUUUCCCAAAAUUACGUGGCUGUGCAGGGAGAGCUGGAACUGCAACAUAGAUGUCUUGAUUCCUAGGCAGCUAUCUACCCAACGGUCUUACCAGAUACGGAUUUGUUUCUUUUCUGAAUAUAUCCAAUCCAAAGUAGUUAGCAUUCCCAGAACAUUCCAAGUGGGUGAACAAUAGCAAACAACUCAGUGUGAUCUAAAGCACUGAUUUCUGGUGUUUUCUUCAAGGGUGUUUUGGCUUUCAAUCUGUUAACCAUAAGGAAUAUUGAAUUUAGCAAAGUACAUUGAAGUUUUCUGUGCAACAUGUUUAAGAACAGCUGAAACCAAUUAAGUGCUAAUCAGUUUUACUCUGUCUGAUGCAGAGUGGAAAAAAAUGUUCCAAAGGUCUCUCCACCCUGAGAUGUUCUUGGCAACGGGUCUCUGUGCUGUGGGCCCCCUCCCAUCUCUCUUAGUCAUGCACCCUCAAGAAGAGAUCUGGCCAACUCCCUUCAGAUCUAAGAUGAGAGCAGAACUGAGUUCAGUAUUUUCCCUUGAAAUAAAAGUUUAUCCUUCCAAAAGCACAGGCAACAAAAGUGAAAAUAGACAAAUGGAGUUGCAUCAAACUAAAAAGCUGCACAGCAAAGGCAACAAUUAAGUGAAGAGACAACCCAUGGACUGGGAGAAAAUAUUUGCAAACCAUACAUCUGAUAGGGAGUUAAUAUCCAAAAA